rnacentral:rRNA from 1 species
AACGAACGCUGGCGGCAGGCUUAACACAUGCAAGUCGAACGCAUCGCAAGAUGAGUGGCAGACGGGUGAGUAAUGCGUGGGAACAUACCCUUUUCUACGGAAUAGCUCUGGGAAACUGGAAUUAAUACCGUAUACGCCCUACGGGGGAAAGAUUUAUCGGGGAAGGAUUGGCCCGCGUUGGAUUAGCUGGUUGGUGGGGUAAAGGCCUACCAAGGCGACGAUCCAUAGCUGGUCUGAGAGGAUGAUCAGCCACAUUGGGACUGAGAGACGGCCCAACCUCCUACGGGUGGCAGCAGUGGGGAAUAUUGGACAAUGGGCGCAAGCCUGAUCCAGCCAUGCCGCGUGAGUGAUGAAGGCCUUAGGGUUGUAAAGCUCUUUCACCGAUGAUGAUAAUGACGGUAGUCGGAGAAGAAGCCCCGGCUAACUUCGUGCCAGCAGCCGCCGUAA